rnacentral:rRNA from 1 species
AUGUGGUUUAAUUUGAAGCAACGCGAAGAACCUUACCAGGUCUUGACAUCCUCUGAAAACCCUAGAGAUAGGGCUUCUCCUUCGGGAGCAGAGUGACAGGUGGUGCAUGGUUGUCGUCAGCUCGUGUCGUGAGAUGUUGGGUUAAGUCCCGCAACGAGCGCAACCCUUGAUCUUAGUUGCCAUCAUUAAGUUGGGCACUCUAAGGUGACUGCCGGUGACAAACCGGAGGAAGGUGGGGAUGACGUCAAAUCAUCAUGCCCCUUAUGACCUGGGCUACACACGUGCUACAAUGGACGGUACAAAGAGCUGCAAGACCGCGAGGUGGAGCUAAUCUCAUAAAACCGUUCUCAGUUCGGAUUGUAGGCUGCAACUCGCCUACAUGAAGCUGGAAUCGCUAGUAAUCGCGGAUCAGCAUGCCGCUGGUGGAAAAUUAACCGA